UACGGAGGGUGCGAGCGUUAUCCGGAUUCACUGGGUUUAAAGGGUGCGUAGGUGGGCAGUUAAGUCAGUGGUGAAAUCUCCGGGCUUAACCCGGAAACUGCCAUUGAUACUAUCUGUCUUGAAUACCGUGGAGGUGAGCGGAAUAUGUCAUGUAGCGGUGAAAUGCUUAGAUAUGACAUAGAACACCAAUUGCGAAGGCAGCUCACUACACGAAUAUUGACACUGAGGCACGAAAGCGUGGGGAUCAAACAGG
rnacentral:rRNA from 1 species